UAUAUCACAAGCCUCCGAGCCCGGUUCCUAAGGCUCUGAACAAGGGCUAUGGGGCCAGGGCCGAUAGGGUGCUCCUGGAAACGGGUGCGCCUCCCGGUGCGGAAAGGAGGUAGAGGAAAGGGAUU
rnacentral:ncRNA from 2 species